rnacentral:rRNA from 1 species
GUGGGGAAUCUUGCGCAAUGGGCGAAAGCCUGACGCAGCCAUGCCGCGUGAAUGAUGAAGGUCUUAGGAUUGUAAAAUUCUUUCACCGGGGACGAUAAUGACGGUACCCGGAGAAGAAGCUCCGGCUAACUUCGUGCCAGCAGCCGCGGUAAUACGAAGGGGGCUAGCGUUGCUCGGAAUUACUGGGCGUAAAGGGCGCGUAGGCGGACAGCUUAGUCAGAGGUGAAAGCCCAGGGCUCAACCUUGGAAUUGCCUUUGAUACUGGCUGUCUUGAGUUUGGGAGAGGUGAGUGGAACGCCGAGUGUAGAGGUGAAAUUCGUAGAUAUUCGGAAGAACACCAGUGGCGAAGGCGACUCACUGGCCCAAUACUGACGCUGAGGCGCGAAAGCGUGGGGAGCAAACAGGAUUAGAUACCCGGGUAGUCC